CAGCCGCCACGGUAAUACAGAGGGUGCAAGCGUUAAUCGGAAUUACUGGGCGUAAAGCGCGCGUAGGUGGUUUGUUAAGUUGGAUGUGAAAGCCCCGGGCUCAACCUGGGAACUGCAUCCAAAACUGGCAAGCUAGAGUACGGUAGAGGGUGGUGGAAUUUCCUGUGUAGCGGUGAAAUGCGUAGAUAUAGGAAGGAACACCAGUGGCGAAGGCGACCACCUGGACUGAUACUGACACUGAGGUGCGAAAGCGUGGGGAGCAAACAGGAUUAGAUACCCCAGUAGUCCCUGUCUCUUAUAC
rnacentral:rRNA from 1 species